GGAAGAAACCAAAGCAAGCCGUGGUGAAGAAGGAACGUUUUCUAAAGCCUCUUUUAUACCCAGGAUGGUUGAGAAGUCAGAGGCCUGCAAUGCUAAGAAGAGAGGGUCUAAAAUGAAUAUCACAGAGCAACAGAGAAAAUGUGGAUCACUCCAACUCUAGCACAAGGUCGGGGAGGAAAAAAAUCAGAGAGUUUGGAAUUUCUAAGUGCUGGUGUUUGAGAAAUGGGGAGCAUCACAAACUAACAGCAGAGGUGGAUCUUUUUUACUGAGUGAUGGAACAGCACUCGUCAAAUGCAAAUAACAAUUGUACAUAGAAGUGCUGCUGGACGUUUGCCUUCCACCACUUCUACUAUUGGGGAAAAUAAGUGAAGAACCUACAGAGGAUAAGAAGAGUGGUCCCAUUUGCAGAAGAAAUGUCCAUCUCUUGUCUAGCAUGGCUCAAGACCAGCCUGGCACAGUACAACAUCAACACAUGAUGUAAGGCAAGAGAGGAGACGGAUCUGAAGAGUCACGGGGUAAAGGAGAGCAAAGAUGUUGAAAGCUCUGGGUGCAGAUGGUCAAGGCCACCCCAUAGCCUGACCCAUGGUGUAGAGCCUGUGGAGGAAGUAGAAUGACAGCUGUAGGUAGAGGACACCUUGUGCCAUCCUGGUUCCUCCAUACACUGGAGGUGGCACCACAGUCUAAAGAGCUAUUAUACCAGCUCAUGUGUGUGGCUCAAGCCCAGGGAUUGGCAGAGUCCUGAAUUGUUCUGUGUCCCUCCAAAGUCAGGGUCACUGUCACCCUAAGUCAGCAUGUCAGCACCAUUCCAGAGGCCCAAUUUUAUCCAAUCUUUCACAGUCUCAUAUAAAAAGUAUUAUCCUGGACAGCAGUGCCUUUCCUCCUAGAGGUUCUUUGGGAAUUUGGUUUACCCCAUGCAUUAGGCAGAGAAUAAUUUAUUAUUAUUAUUAUUAUUAUUUUAAGCAACAGG